rnacentral:lncRNA from 1 species
CUGGGUGGAGAACGGGCCAGUUGGAUUUGGUCAACUCGGGCCAGCCGUUCUGCAUGGGCUGCGGAUAGCAGACUUGGAAGUUGGGCCACAGGUCACACGCUGGGCCGGCUGGCCCAGUUUGCCCAGUUCCUAACCCGUCCAUGUGGGGUGCGCGUGUUCAGCCCCUUAGGCUUGCACGUGCAUAACGGGCUCCAUGCACGAUGCUUGCGGGCCUUCUAGGUUGUGCAACAGAGUUGUUGGGUUUGCUUGUGCGUGGGCCUUGCUGCGCGCAUAUGGGCUAUGCAAGCUUGGUUUACGUAGGCCAUCUUACUCGGGUGUGGGCUUUAUUACAAUUCUUAAAACCCAUUAAUCUUACUUGGGCCUUAAGUCUUUUGGCUUGAACAAACUUGGCCCAUCUCUUGGAAUAAUCCCAAUUGUGAAAGUAGUCAAGAAUGAAAUUACUUUCCUAUUCUGAACAUUCCCCUUUAGGAAACCAAAACUUACUUUCCUAUUUGAGUUUAGACAUGCUGGAUUCGUCCUUGAUGUAAAUUAGCAUCCUUGACACCAAAUUUGGGCCAUCCAAUAUGACAUCAUCCCUCCUUCUUCAAAAGGAUUUGUUC